rnacentral:tRNA from 1 species
GUUUAAGUAGUUUAUUGAUAAAAUGUUGGUUUGUGKGACCUGAGAAGUAAGUUUGUUACCUUGAACA